rnacentral:rRNA from 1 species
AGUGAACGCUGGCGGCGUGCUUAACACAUGCAAGUCGAACGAGAACGGAUUAUAGCUUGCUAUAAUUGUCAGCUAAGUGGCGCACGGGUGAGUAAUGUAUAGGUAAUAUGCCUCUUACUAAGGGAUAACAAAUGGAAACGUUUGCUAAUACCUUAUACUCCUUAUUAACAUACGUUAAUAAGGGAAAGAUUUAUUGGUAAGAGAUUAGCCUGUAUUGUAUCAGUUAGUUGGUGGGGUAAUGGCUUACCAAGACUAUGACACAUAACUGGGUUGAAAGGAUGAUCAGUCACACUGGAACUGAGACACGGUCCAGACUCCUACGGGAGGCAGCAGUGGGGAAUAUUGCACAAUGGACGAAAGUCUGAUGCAGCAACGCCGCGUGGAGGAUGACACAUUUCGGUGCGUAAACUCCUUUUAUAUGAGAAGAUAAUGACGGUAUUAUAUGGAUAAGCACCGGCUAACUCCGUGCCAGCAGCCGCCGUAA